GACUAGCCAAGUCAAUGUUGUAAUUUUUCAACAUAUGUCUACUGGAUCAGUUUUUUUUCUUUUUAAUUUGUAGUAUGAGUAUCAUAUGCAAUUCAUAUCAAUCGAUAACUUCUGUUUUCCUCUGUAGAUUAGAAAUUUCAAUUUUCCUCUGAACAAAUGUUGGGUGGAAUUUGAUUUUCCAGUUUGUUUUACAUAUACUUUCUCUGUUUACUUUUCAUGAAAAAAAAGUAUCAGGUUGAACAAAUGUGCCUUCAAUUAUUGCUUGCUUACAUUAUUGCUUAAUUUUUCUAGUUUGAACUGCAUGGCCCUGGUCUAACCAAGAAUGGCACCUUGCAGAAAAUAAAUCCAGUUUCUUGUUCUGUAUUAUUUGCCAUAACUGUUGUUAGAAGUAGGUCUCUAAAAACACUUUAAAUAUACUUACUGUUUCAUGGGAAUUAUUUGUAAAACGCAUUAUAUUUAAUAAAAUUUCAGUUUAAAUCAUGACUUUGUGGUAUGAUUUGGUAGUUUG
rnacentral:misc_RNA from 1 species